CAUCUCUUUAGCCCCAAAUGCUGAAGCUCAAGGCAACACAAGUAGCAGUGAAGGGCUGCUGUGUGAACCCACAGUGGUGGGAUGAGCACUCACUGCAUGCGUUUCAGCAGAGAGAAAUGGGCAGGUGUUUGAUUAAGCACAUUUCAUCUGUGUGGUUAAUCAGGUAAGUGGUUACUGUGGCUACAGUCAGAAUAAUGACUGUCAUUUGCUCCAGCCCAUUAGACAGCAACUUGAUUCCUAGUGGUUGGUUGUAAACAUGAAAACCUUGCCAGUUCGCCAAAGCUCAGCUUCCUGAAGAUCAGGGGCAGGGUGAAGUGGGGGCCACGGGGAAGGGAGUGUCGGUGGCAGUCAGCCACGUGGCAGCAUGCCCAUCGCUGCACCUGCAGCAGGCGCCCAGGGCACAAGAAACUACACCUGGAGGUACUACUCCCACCUCAUAUCCUGCCCCUCUCCAUGCUGGCAGGAGGCACUCCAGCUUCACGGAGAAGCUUGGUUAGGAGGGGAUGAGGCAGCUUUUGAUGCAGGGAUAUAAACACAGAGAGAGAGGGCGAAGAAAUUAAGGCUAGUUGGAAGGCAGGUGCAGAUAAUGGUGGUGGAAGUGUUUGGGAGGUGCUGAAGAUGACCUCCAGGGAGAAGAGUUGGCACUGAGCAGAAGUGCAACAAGCAGGGCUUACAGACAUCGAAGGGUUUGUUGACCUUGUGACCUGCCCACAGCAUGUUGAAGACUGACCGAGGUACAAAUGGAAGCAUAGGCUGGGUUUGGUGUUUUGUUUGAAGGCCUUAUGCGGGUACAAGGACUCUGUGGCUUUGCAUCACAGAUACAUAUCAUUUUUCAGAAGUGCUGCUGCAUUGCAAAUAGGAGAAUCUCCUUAUGAGCCGAAUAAAAUAAGAUUCAGCAAACAAGGCUCUCUGGAUCAAGAAAGCCAUCCUCAAUGGUUGCCCAAAUGUUGAGCUGCUGUAGUGUCAUAUGCCACUGUCUGAUGCUGGUCAGUAGCAAUCAAGGUACAUCUUGCCUCACAGAAGAGGGAAAAUAUCCAUUGUCACUGCCUUUCUCUUGGUGCCUUAAGAACAUGAGCUAGGUAAAUUAAGUCCCAAAGUGAUGUCAGUUUCUUGUAAUGUUUUCUCAAGAUGGCUCUUAGCAUGUACCAUUGAUCUCUGUGUCUUUAUACCCUGCUGAAAUCAGAGGUAUAAUAUAUAUAAUAUAUAUAUAAUAUAUAAUACAUAUUAAUGGUCCUGUCAUUGUGACAGAUUGUUGUGACAGAACAGGUUAACAAAAUGAAUGGACGGGAUGUAGAAUUUAAACUAAUCUGCUUAAUUGGCUUUUAUGUCCAGAGUAGAGCUAUCACUAUAUGGGAUCUCUAAGACUUUACCAAGCUAUUUCAUGAAAAAACAUGAGGAGAACACUCUCACUGACAUAUUUAGGGUGUAUAUGCCUGAGAGGUCUCUCACUGAGCAAGCAAACAUGCCAUUUGAGAAAACUGUCUUCUUCCUGGCAAUGAAAAGAAGAAAGGGGAAGAGGACAGGGAAAGGGAAGGGGAAAGAGAAGAGGAAGAAAAGGGAAAGGGGGAAGAGGACAUUGAGGGGAAAGGGGAGGAUAGAAAAGGGAGAGGAGAGGAGAAGAUGUAAAAUAACUUGGUGUAACUAAUUACUGCUGACUAAUUCAGCAAGCUUGUGAUGUUGAACAACACCUUGGAGAAUUGUGGCAUGUGAAUUUAUUUAGAAUGAAUAAAUUCAUGUAACCUUCUCAAUGA